UAGCUAAGGCUAAUUCUCCGUUCCUUUGGUGCCCUACCUCUCUUCGCCGCCCCCCUCCCUUCAGUCACAGCAUCCCCUAUCAGCGGUGGCCUUCCCACAGCGGCAGCAUCGCCACCCUCUGUCGCAUUCGAGCAUCUCCAAACCUCUGGACUUCUUACGCUGUGUCCCUAUACUUACGGUCUCUCUGUGAUGGCAGCAUCGCCGCCCUCUCCUCUCACCGAUCGCCCUCUCCGAAUGCAGACAGGCAUUUCCCCUUCGCCCCCUCCUCCCAGCGCUAUCCUCUUCGCCCCCCCUCUCACCGACCGGCCCCCCGACGCAGGCAGGCGUGGCCCCUCUCAUUCGGCGCACCCUCCCUUUGCCGCCGCCCUCCUCUCACCUAGUGCGUUCGAGCAUCUUCUUCCUUGUGCUGGUCGACGUUGCAGCAGUUCUCCUUCCAGGUUCUUUCACCCCCUUCAGCAGGAGAACUGUCUGGUGCUGUUCAAAUCUUUGCCACCGAAGGUCUUUUAAGAUUUCUGUAUUGCUCUUGGGAUGUGACGAUAGCUAUUUUAAUUGAGAGAUUGCUCAAGUAUACUUGUCAAUUUGAUUUAUAAUUUAAUAAAUUAUUUAUUAUAAUAUAUUUUUAAAUUUUUUGCUAUAGAUAAUUUAUUAUUUGAAGAGGAUUUUGUUAUUAAAUUUAUACUAUUAUGUAGUUUUGUGAUUUUUUUUGUCAUUCAAUAUAGAUAAAUUUAUAAUAUCAAUUUAUGAAAAAUUAUUUUACGUUGAAAAGUAAGAUACCUAUUGAUAAAGUCAACAAAGAUUUAAUCUCAUGAUUUUAAAUUCCAUGUUAAAGAUCAUCUCGAUGGAGAUCAUGUUACUUUUCAUAGUUUGAAGUGGUGACAAAUGUGAAGUUAGCUGUUUUCCUUGAUCUCAUGGCUUAGAUUUUUUGCUGACAUGGUUCAACAGUUGUGGAUGCUGCAUUUACAAUCCAAGUUUUAGAUGCAGCAGCAUCUUCUUUGCUGCAUAAUGUUUGGUUGCAGACAAAACUUGUCCUUUUGAUGCUCACGGUCAGCUCCUUUUGAUAUCAAAUGCUCACGGUCAGCUGAGAGGAUUAUGAGAUGCGAGCAUCUUAUGAAGAUGCCUGGAUUUGGUGCUUGAUGUUAUGUUCUAAGAAAGCUUUGAGCUUUGUGUGGAUUGCUUGAUCGAUAUUUAAUUGUUAUGUAAUAAAUAAUUUUUGUAUAACAAAUUUGAUUAACUUUUUGAGCUUGACGAUUGUGCUACUGUCACGAGAGGCCUCAUGAUAGGCCUACAGUGUUGCAAUGGUGUUAAUGCAUGUUUUAUUGGUUGCCAA